rnacentral:tRNA from 1 species
GCCCGUGUAGUCCAACUGGUAGAGGCGCUGCGUUCAGAACGCAGAUGGUGGGGGUUCGAAUCCCUCCGCGGGCAC